AUUGAACGCUGGCGGCAUGCCUUACACAUGCAAGUCGAACGGCAGCGGGCCUUCGGGUGCCGGCGAGUGGCGAACGGGUGAGUAAUGCAUCGGAACGUGCCAUUGAGUGGGGGAUAACGUAGCGAAAGUUGCGCUAAUACCGCAUAUUCUGUGAGCAGGAAAGCAGGGGACCGCAAGGCCUUGCGCUCUUUGAGCGGCCGAUGUCAGAUUAGCUAGUUGGUGAGGUAAAGGCUUACCAAAGGCGACGAUCUGUAGCGGGUCGUGAGAGGAUGAUCCGCCACACUGGAACUGAGACACGGUCCAGACUCCUACGGAGGCAGCAGUGGGGAAUUUUGGACGAAUAGGGCGGCAAGCCUGAUCCAGCCAUGCCGCGUGAGUGAAGAAGGCCUCGGUUCGUAAAGCGUACUUUCGGUCCGGGGUAACGGAAAGUACGCGAU
rnacentral:rRNA from 1 species